rnacentral:pre_miRNA from 1 species
AUAAGAAACACUUAAGAAUCUCAUUAAAAAGCAGAUUCUCAUUAGGUAGAUCAGAAGUGGGACCCAAGGUCCUGCAUUUCUAACAGACUCCUGAAUGAUGCCAGU